rnacentral:rRNA from 1 species
UAACGCGUGAGGAACCUGCCUCAAAGAGGGGGACAACAGCUGGAAACGACUGCUAAUACCGCAUAAGCCCACGGCUCGGCAUCGAGCAGAGGGAAAAGGAGCAAUCCGCUUUGAGAUGGCCUCGCGUCCGAUUAGCUAGUUGGUGAGGUAACGACCCACCAAGGCGACGAUCGGUAGCCGGACUGAGAGGUUGAACGGCCACAUUGGGACUGAGACACGGCCCAG